rnacentral:lncRNA from 1 species
GACGGCUGCUCCCCUCCUUUCCUCCCGCCACAAGCGCUCGCUGUGGUUCUGGCAGCGAAGUGCGAGACUGGGCUCGCCAGGCGGAAGUGGUUGGAGACUGCGUGUUUUCCUAGAAAGUCCUCGACCUUCGUCGGGGAGAGGAGGGGAGUGAUAAAUUGGAAGGCGGACAAGCGACAAGUGCGGUACUGGAAAGACCCAAACAUACUUGGUUGUGACCUCAGGACUCAAUAAAAUAAACAGCUGGAAAUAAGCAGACUAGUGUAAGAGUGAAUUGAAAAGAAAACCCAAGGUCACAUCUCCCAAGAAGCAGUAAUGUUCCAGCAAUAAGAAAAGGACAGUUUUUUGUCUUUUGCAUGGUGAGCCUUAUAUGAAUUACAUCAAUUUUGUCACCAAUAUCCAUCAUCAGAACAUUUUGUGGCACUGUGGCUCGAACCAAUGUCCAGCUUCCACACUAUCUGCUUGGAAGAGGAUUACCCUUAUUUGGAAGUCUCAGUUUUGAGGAUUUGGGGAAAGCAGGCACGCAAGCAGACACACCUUAUUCUCUACAGCAUCAUUUAUACCUCAACUAAGUCAGCUGAACAAAUGCCUGCUGAAAAGUUCUGGGAGUGGCAUAGCUAAGAACCAGAAAGGCGAUCUUUCUUUUGGAUUAAGUCAACAGAGUCAUACCCACAAGGAGAACUAUCAAAUAUCAGAUGCGAGAGGUGAAGUGGGGUUAUAAGAUUCUACAUAACACAUUGCAAAUGGUCACAACAAUCAAGACUAUAUCCAUAGAUGUCCCAGAAAUAAUAUCUGACUAUACAGAGCAGCAUUACCAAGCCACCAAGAAGUCUGCCUAGUAAUGACAAUGAUAACAACAGCUAACACUUAAUAAUCACUUGCCUUACUGACAGAUUCAGAGGAAGCCAUCAGUUUUUUGGGCAGAAUGAAGGGACAAAUGGUGAACUGGUAUCCGGGAUGCUGCCUAGAACCCUGUCCAUUUAAGAAGACACCCAGGUGAUACGCAAUGCACAAAAAGCACUGGAACUCCCAGCAGGCAAGCACUGCAGUCUAUAAACCCUCUAUUGAGAAAGGCCAUGACAUGUCUACCAGGGACACAGAUUUGGGAGGCAGAACACAAGACAGGGUGAGGGUGAAAAGCAAUGGCUACCUGGCCACGUCAGCCAAAUCAGCUCCAAAAAUCAAUGCGAUGACAGUGGUCACAGGCAGAUCACUCUCACCUUAUAACCUGGGAUGGCACAGACCAGACAGAUUAUUUCAUUUUGUUUUUUCAUUAUUUUUAUUUACUUUUUUGGAGAGAGGGUCUCACUCCAUUGCCCAGGCUGGAGUCCAGUGGUGUGAUCAUAGCUCACUGUAACCUUGAACUCCUGGACUCAAGUGAUAAACCUGCAGCUGUCUUCCCUGAGUAGCUGGGACUACAGGUACACACCACUACACCGGGCCUCUCAUUUUGCUUAAUUUAUUUAAUUAGUCAACUAAUUUUGAGGGAGGGCAGAUUUUGGAAGUAAAGGGCAUAGAUGGUUCUGUAGUAUGCGGAAAUCUGAAGCUUUGCUAAGAUGGGAUCAACAUGAAGCAUCUGUACAUGUACAAAUUAGCAAAUGUUACCAUGACUAACAGUAAAAUGAAGAAUUAAGGAAAUUAUAAGGUUAAUUUCCUUGAAGUCUCUCAGUAGUCAUUUGUGUCUAUAGGUGAUUUUGUAUUUUACAACAUUGUAUUUUCUAAUUUCAUGAAAGGAAAGCUAACCAAAUUCGUGGAUUUUAUUUUUUGCCUCAGCCUCAAAAAGCCUUAGGGCUGAUUCAGGCCUGGUUGUAGCAAUCGGCUGUCUCAAAGGCCUCCUGCAUGUUUAAAUAGCUUCUCUCCUGUUUAUUUUGCACUGUUUUAUCCUGUAAGCUGUCUCGAGGCCCUUCCAAUAUAAGCAUGAGGAUUUAAAUCUUAAUAAAUUGAGAUUUGAA